GACGAACGCUGGCGGCGUGCUUAACACAUGCAAGUCGAACGGAAAGGCCCCUUUGGGAGUACCCGAGUGGCGAACGGGUGAGUAACACGUGAGUAACCUGCCCUUGACUUCGGGAUAACUUCAGGAAACUGGGGCUAAUACCGGAUAGGAAUCCUUGCUGCAUGGUGGGGGUUGGAAAGCUUCGGCGGUUUUGGAUGGACUCGCGGCUUAUCAGCUUGUUGGUGGGGUAGUGGCUUACCAAGGCCUUGACGGGUAGCCGGCCUGAGAGGGCGACCGGCCACAUUGGGACUGAGAUACGGCCCAGACUCCUACGGGAGGCAGCAGUGGGGAAUAUUGCACAAUGGGCGGAAGCCUGAUGCAGCAACGCCGCGUGCGGGAUGACGGCCUUCGGGUUGUAAACCGCUUUCAGCAGGGGCGAAGCUUGUGGUGACGGUACCUGCAGAAGAAGCACCGGCUAACUACGUG
rnacentral:rRNA from 1 species